rnacentral:rRNA from 1 species
GACGAACGCUGGCGGCGUGCCUAAUACAUGCAAGUCGAGCGGACGCUUUUGAAGCUUGCUUCAAAAGCGUUAGCGGCGGACGGGUGAGUAACACGUGGGCAACCUACCUUAUCGACUGGGAUAACUCCGGGAAACCGGGGCUAAUACCGGAUAACAUCUAGCACCUCCUGGUGCCGGAGUAAAAGAGGGCUUCUUGCUCUCACGACGAGAUGGGCCCGCGGGGCAUUAGCUAGUUGGAGAGGUAACGGCUCCCCAAGGCGACGAUGCGUAGCCGACCUGAGAGGGUGAUCGGCCACACUGGGACUGAGACACGGCCCAGACUCCUACGGGAGGCAGCAGUAGGGAAUCUUCCGCAAUGGAUGAAAGUCUGACGGAGCAGCGCCGCGUGAGUGAUGAAGGGUUUCGGCUCGUAAAGCUCUGUUAUGAGGGAAGAACACGUACCGUUCGAAUAGGGCGGUACCUUGACGGUACCUCAUCAGAAAGCCACGGCUAACUACGUGCCAGCCGCCGCAGUAAGAC